AAAUAUACCGGUUCUUGUUAGAUCACCGAAGUCAAGCAUCAUUGGGUGCGUCAGUACUUGGGUGGGUGACCACCUGGGAACACCGCGUGCCGUUG
rnacentral:rRNA from 1 species